rnacentral:rRNA from 1 species
GGCGAACGGGUGAGGACUACAUGGGUAACCUACCCUCGAGUGGGGAAUAACUAGCCGAAAGGUUAGCUAAUACCGCGUACGCUUCCAAGACUGCGGUUUUGGAAGGAAAGCGAUACCGUGGGUAUCGCGCUCUUGGAUGGGCUCAUGCCCUAUCAGCUUGUUGGUGAGGUAACGGCUCACCAAGGCUUCGACGGGUAGCUGAUCUGAGAGGAUGAUCAGCCACACUGGCACUGCGACACGGGCCAGACUCCUACGGGAGGCAGCAGUAAGGAAUAUUGCGCAAUGGGCGAAAGCCUGACGCAGCGACGCCGCGUGGGGGAUGAAGGUCUUCGGAUUGUAAACCCCCUUCGGAAGGGAAGAUGGGAUGGGGUAACCCAUUCGGACGGUACCUCCAGAAGCAGCCACGGCUAACUUCGUGCCAGCAGCCGCGGUAAUACGAAGGUGGCAAGCGUUGUUCGGAUUUACUGGGCGUACAGGGAGCGUAGGCGGUUGGAUAAGCCCUCCGUGAAAUCUCCAGGCUUAACCUGGAAAGUGCAGAGGGGACUGUUCAGCUAGAGGAUGGGAGAGGAGCGCGGAAUUCCCGGCGUAGCGGUGAAAUGCGUAGAGGUCGGGAGGAAGGCCGGUGGCGAAGGCGGCGCUCUGGAACAUUUCUGACGCUGAGGCUCGAAAGCGUGGGGAGCAAACAGGAUUAGAUACCCUGGUAGUCC